GACGAACGCUGGCGGCGUGCUUAACACAUGCAAGUCGAACGGAAAGGCCCUGCUUUUGUGGGGUGCUCGAGUGGCGAACGGGUGAGUAACACGUGAGUAACCUGCCCUUGACUUUUGGAUAACUUCAGGAAACUGGGGCUACUACCGGAUAGGAGCUCCUGCUGCAUGGUGGGGGUUGGAAAGUUUCGGCGGUUGGGGAUGGACUCGCGGCUUAUCAGCUUGUUGGUGGGGUAGUGGCUUACCAAGGCUUUGACGGGUAGCCGGCCUGAGAGGGUGACCGGCCACAUUGGGACUGAGAUACGGCCCAGACUCCUACGGGAGGAAGCAGGGGGGAAUAUUGCACAAUGGGCGGAGGCCUGAUGCAGCAACGCCGCGUGGGGAAUGACGGCCUUCGGGUUGUAAACCGCUUUCGCCUGUGACGAAGCGUGAGUGACGGUAAUGGGUAAAGAAGCACCGGCUAACUACGUG
rnacentral:rRNA from 1 species